UACAGGGGGGGCAAGCGUUGUUCGGAAUUACUGGGCGUAAAGGGUCUGUAGGUGGCCAACUAAGUCAGACGUGAAAUCCCUCAGCUUAACUGGGGAACUGCGUCUGAUACUGGAUGGCUUGAGUGUGGGAGGAGGAAUGCGGAAUUCCAGGUGUAGCGGUGAAAUGCGUAGAUAUCUGGAGGAACACCGGUGGCGAAGGCGGCAUCCUGGACCGGUAUUGACGCUGAGGCGCGAAAGCUAGGGUAGCAAACGGG
rnacentral:rRNA from 1 species